UACGAAGGGGCUAGCGUUGCUCGGAAUCACUGGGCGUAAAGGGUGCGUAGGCGGGUCUUUAAGUCAGGGGUGAAAUCCUGGAGCUCAACUCCAGAACUGCCUUUGAUACUGGGAAGCUCGAGUCCGGAAGAGGUGAGUGGGAACUCCGAGUGUAGAGGUGAAAUUCGUAGAUAUUCGCAAGAACACCAGUGGCGAAGGCGGCUCACUGGCCCGAUACUGACGCUGAGGCACGAAAGCGUGGGAGCAACA
rnacentral:rRNA from 1 species